GCUUAACAGCUUUAUUUCCGCUCUGAAAUAGCAAGGCUUCCUUCCAGCACACAGAGUGGAUGUUCUAAUGGGCUGAGCAGAGCAGGGUGGUUUAAAACACAGGGAAAUGGAAGGCAAAUCACCCCCGACCCCACCCCAUCCCCCCAAAAAGAAGGACCAACCAUUUCAAAGUUAUUUUCCUUGUAAAGUGGGGGGACUGGAGUCAGCAGGACUGAAGGCCUCUUCUUAAAGGUUGUGGCAAGCUUUCCUGGUGCCAAGGCCUCUGCACGUUUGAACAGAGCUAUCAACACAAACCUAAAGCCCCUGCUGGUGAUGAGGCUGCGAUAGGAAGAGCCCCAUGGGACAGGUGCUCGGUAAAGGUGUUCAUUUAAGGAGCAGUGCAGUUGGGGAUGCACAGUUAUCUACCUAGUAAUGCAUGGAGUGUGGCGCAGCUAGGUCUUCAGAUGCCUUCCCAUCACAAGUACCACCUUCACCAUGGCUACCAUUUGCCAGAAUGGCUUUUAAAGGCAGAGUCAAGAGACCUACUCAGAGGAGGAUGAGAACGUUUCAGGAAUGGCAGUAAGGGAAGACAGAAGAGGGUGAUGAUGGAUCUCCUGGAUACACAGGUACACAGCUGUAAACCACCAUGCAGGUGCUGAGAACCUAACCUGGGUUUUCUGCAAGGACAAGUGCUCAUAACUGCUCGGCCAUCGCUCCAGCUCCAGAACAAAAAUUUAAUGGUUUCCUUCUGGGACUGUUUACAUGAGAAAUGUCCUUCAAAGAGACUGAUAGUUGAAAACUUGGUCAUCAGUAGAUGGCACCCUUUGUGGAGGGGUUGAGAGUUCUAGGACAAACACCUUUCUUCUAAGACUUCAGAAGUUGAUUCAUGGCUAUGCAAAUGUUCCUGGUAGAUGGAGUGGUCUAGAACAUCUGGAAGCACACUGGUGUGGCUGCCUUACAGACAACAGAUGACACACUGGACUUAUCCCC
ensembl:lncRNA